GCUCAACCGAGGAAGUGCUUCGAAAACUGGUAAACUUGAGUGCAGAAGAGGAAAGUGGAACUCCAUGUGUAGCGGUGGAAUGCGUAGAUAUAUGGAGGAACACCAGUGGCGAAGGCGGCUUUCUGGUCUGUAACUGACGCUGAGAUUCGAAAGCAUGGGUAGCAAACAGGAUUAGAUACCCUGGUAGUCCAUGCCGUAAACGAUGAGUGCUAAGUGUUGGAGGGUUUCCGCCCUUCAGUGCUGCAGCUAACGCAUUAAGCACUCCGCCUGGGGAGUACGAUCGCAAGAUUGAAACUCAAAGGAAUUGACGGGGGCCCGCACAAGCGGUGGAGCAUGUGGUUUAAUUCGAAGCAACGCGAAGAACCUUACCAGGUCUUGACAUACCAUGAAAAGCUUAGAGAUAAGUCUUUCCCUUCGGGGACAUGGAUACAGGUGGUGCAUGGUUGUCGUCAGCUCGUGUCGUGAGAUGUUGGGUUAAGUCCCGCAACGAGCGCAACCCUUAUUAUCAGUUGCCAGCAUUCAGUUGGGCACUCUGGUGAGACUGCCGGUGAUAGACCGGAGGAAGGUGGGGACGACGUCAAAUCAUCAUGCCCCUUAUGACCUGGGCUACACACGUGCUACAAUGGUCGGUACAACG
rnacentral:rRNA from 1 species